rnacentral:misc_RNA from 1 species
AAGUCGUAACAAGGUUUCCGUAGGUGAACCUGCGGAAGGAUCAUUAACACGUUAUCCAUACGUUUAACCAAAUGCGAAUUGUUUUCACCCUCCCUUCACCGGAGAAUGAGCGGGGUAGCUAUAGAGGUGUUGAAAGGGAUUGUUUCGGCAAUCAGCCUCUAUCUACUAUUUGACUGUAACAGAAAUGUUCAGUUUGACGCUGUAUCUUUUAUGUGAAGGUUUCAUCUCAUCUGGCGCUCUCCUUUCAUUGAGAGUUGGAUGGGAUACUAUAUUAACUUAUUUCACCUUUUGCUAGUUGACUUUUAUAUGUUGAGUACUGUGCAUUUUUUUUGUGCAUGCUAUUCACACGUUUAUUUAUUUGAACGUUAAAAUUACAACUCUUAGCAAUGGAUAUCUUGGUUCUC